UGGGGAAUAUUGGACAAUGGGCGAAAGCCUGAUCCAGCCAUGCCGCGUGUGUGAAGAAGGCCUUUUGGUUGCAAAGCACUUUAAGCGAGGAGGAGGCUACUUGGAUUAAUACUCUAGGAUAGUGGACGUUACUCGCAGAAUAAGCACCGGCUAACUCUGUGCCAGCAGCCGCGGUAAUACAGAGGGUGCGAGCGUUAAUCGGAUUUACUGGGCGUAAAGCGUGCGUAGGCGGCUUCUUAAGUCGGAUGUGAAAUCCCUGAGCUUAACUUAGGAAUUGCAUUCGAUACUGGGAAGCUAGAGUAUGGGAGAGGAUGGUAGAAUUCCAGGUGUAGCGGUGAAAUGCGUAGAGAUCUGGAGGAAUACCGAUGGCGAAGGCAGCCAUCUGGCCUAAUACUGACGCUGAGGUACGAAAGCAUGGGGAGCAAACAGG
rnacentral:rRNA from 1 species